GAAGAGAGAACUUCUCUGAAGGCCACAAGCGUAGGAAGUAGACAGAACCCGUCCCCGUUUCUCAGGGAGCCACCCCUCCACCACGGCCUACAUGUUCUACUUCACAGUCCCUGUGCAACAUUGAGAAGACUACUAACGAGUGAUGAUUUUGCCCUGCCUGCCAAAAAUCUAGACUGGGCAGAAUCUCAUAGCAUCUCAGUCUACGGACCUCCUAGGAAGCUGUAAUCAAGGACAGGGGUUGGACAGGAAUGGAAAGGGGGCAGGAAGUGAGUAGGUGACAGUUUCCAGCUGCUGAUGACCAGCAGAGCCCGUGGAGUGACUGCAGGUGACUCCUCGUCUUUCUCAGCCACCCAGACUCUCGGAACUUAGAUCCUGCCACUGCUGACAAGGGCCCAGGGAAGCAAGGAAUGGCAGCUCCAUUAGUUGCGGUGGGAGUGAUUCUCGGUGCUUCUCUGUCCCUUCUUUCCCUGAAGCCGAAGCUUUGGGUCUAGGCCAUCUGCACAGUGAGGCAUCUAGAACCUCUGAAGGACGCUGCAGUAGAGAUCGGACCAUUGGCCUAAGUCAAGGACCGGCAAACAUGCCUCUUCCCUUGGGCUGACGUCACCAGACCAGCCAGUUAAAUUCCCUUCAAAAGGACCAAUGCUGCAGCAUCCUCCACUGCUGUCUUUACUCCUUGGAUGACCAGCUCCCACUGCUCCUUCAAGGCCAGGUGCCAUGUCUACGGGCUCCAUCUCCCUGAAUCCUCAUCAACACCGAUGACAAGGGCGCUGUCAUCCCUCCAACUGUAGGCAGGAGAAAACUGAGACUCAGAAAUGUAAGUGACUCGUUUCCCAUCUGAGUGGAUUGCUCAGGAAAAGAAAAGGAAAUUAGCAUGAAAUUUAGGAGGAAGUAUUGAAUAAAGACUGCGAGCAACGGCUUUCUGCUCAGACAAAUCUGAGCUGGAAGCCUGCCUCUGAGACUUCUGGACUGUGUGAACUUGGGCAAGUCCCUCAGCUGCUCUGAGGCUCACUUUCCCUCCCUACAACGUGAAGAUAAUCCUACUACCCAUUCCAGGCCGCCUGCGUGGCAGCUCACCCGGAAUGUUAUCCAGUCUUCUUCUUGCUAUUAAAUGGUGGUUAUUUUUUCUCUGCCCACGAAUCAGGUAGGCUCAUCAUAUGACUCCCUACAGGGUCAGAUGGUCUUUAAGGUAAAUCUUUUUAAAGCGUCUCUCAAGAUUUCAGCAUAAAAUUGCUCUGGAAAGGCAUUCUUUUUCCAGGUUUGGGAGGUGAUGGUAAAUGACUAAUGGCUGGACCUCAGUCCCGCUAAGUUCCAUUUUAAUCUCUGUGUUUAUCAUCGGUGUUGUUACUCAGUAGCACAACUGAGCCUACCUGGACUUUGCAAAAGGAACAUGAAUAACCCCUUUAUCGAUGACCUAUGGCUGUGUAACCAAACACCUCAAACUUCCUACAAAAAUUAUUAUGGCUUAGGAUUUUGUGGUUCCUCUGCUGGUCUCUCCUGGACUUGCUCCUACGGUUGAGGAAUGGAAUGUCUGGAUAGUCCAAGGUGGGAGUUGGUGCUGCUUAGCCUGGGUUCCUCUGUCUUCCUCUAUACCACCGUUCAUCCUUGGGAGGACUAAUCAGCUUCCUCACAGCAUGGCCGCCUCAAGGCAGCGUUCCAAGAGGACAAGCGUUCAGGUGUAAGCACCUAUCAAGCUUCUGCCUGAGUCAUGUUUGCUCAUAGCCCAUUGGCCAAAGCGAGUAACAUGGCCAAGCUCAGCAUCACGUGGGAGGUGACGUAGACUUUAUCACUUGAUGGGUGAAGUGGAGAAGAAUUUUGGCCAUUUUGAAUCCAUCACAAUUACCAAUAUAAAAUGUUUAAAAAAAUGAAGACAUCCAAAAGAUUUAAUAAGAAUAAAAAGAAUCCAACUCGCAGUACCAGGGGAAACUGCCAAGGAAGCAGAGUGCCAGCUCAAGUCUUCCCCUCUGGCAACCUUUUGAGAGAAGAUGGAGGAUGUCCUGCUCACCUGCUUUGGCCUGGAAAGUCACCCCCCUUCUGGGCCUCGGUUUCGCAUUGGGGACAACUACCGAGCAGCACUCUGUCUCCUGCCUGAGGAACUAAUUUAAACCCGACUUUGCGAUGGUGAAACUCCUCCUGGCUCAGCUGAAGCCUCCUUCUACCUGAGAUCCCAGAUCCUGCAGACCGCAAACCUCUCUGAACUACGGACAGACUUAGAAAGUGAUCAGAGUCCACAGGCUGACUUUCAGGAAGGUCUUGGUGACUUUCCUCUACUCAUGAGCUACACUGGCUACUGGACAAAGGAGGCGGAACCGCUCCCCCUUGUCCGCAGGAGAUCCCGUGCCUUGGGAGGGGCAGGACAGCUUCUCGGUAGAAGGAUCCUGUUCGUGUGUGCAAAAUUGCCCGUCUGCCAGGGUACCUUCCCUCAACAUGUGUGCUUCCUAGGGGUACAAGGUGCAGGGAGUGGGUCUUCUCUGAUCUGCCACUUGGGGCAGUAUAUAAGGGAAUGUCUGGGCUAUACGUAGAAAUUAAAUUAUGCUUUAAGAAAUGAUGAAUAUACCAGGGUUCAUCCUAUUCGACAGAUGUAGAGAUUUUAGCUGUUGUAGAAACCCACUGCCCUAGAUAAAAUACCACUCAGAACUCCAAAGUUAAUGCCCUUUCUUCCUGAGGCUUCUCCUCCCUUAUGGGCUGCUUGGACUCUUUUGGCCCCUUCUGGGGGCUUCUAGAAUACUGAGGUACCAGUGUAGACAUGAGAGUUCCUCCUGGCUCCUGCCAGCACAUCUGAGGUGAGCUAGAACUUUCAAAAGACUGCACUGAACGCAAGGGAAGUCCUUAGGGAGACACAAACAAACAAAUGGUAAGGUGCAUAAAGCAAUAGGAAUCCCAUAAUAUGGGGUUUUUAACCCGACUGUGGCUGGCUGGCAGAUGCAGUCCAUGCCCUUGCUUAUCCUCUCAUCCCCCCAACUGCCUGGGCCAGUUUCCAGAUCUUGCUCAGAAUGGCUGGCCUUACUCUUAGACUCCAGGAAGCCAGCAGACACAGACCUCUCUCAUGCCUCGGUGUAUUCACAGUUAGGGCUGAGAGAAUGUUCUAGCUUUUUUGGCCUUUCCUUCAGCUCUUGUCAGACGUGGCGACUGUCUCAGUGAGCAACUCCACCUUUCCCUUGAGGCCCCAACCCCAUCCAUCUUGCAUGUUGCCUGAUCCCUGAUACAGAGGAAAAAUAUCUCAACCCUGCAGUGACCAUAGACAACUUGACUUCCAGCAUCACUGCCCCGGAACUGUGGCCACAGGGUCCUUCCCACACAGUGACACCACACCAGCACAUUUUGUCAGCUCAGACUAAAAACGGAUCAGGCUUCCUUUACCUGCAAGUAUGUUUUGUCACCUUAUGAACACUAGCUGGCCAGUGCGGUAAAAGAAUUACAGUGCGUGACCUAUUUAGAUGUGUUUAAAUUGGCCUUCGCAUGGGUUUUAGUUACAAUGAUUCUUUUAUUUUUAGCAGGAUUGAGAGAUGAAUGCCUUCUUGCAGAUGAAGGUCACACUUUCUUGCCCUCAUCAGCAAGUAGGGCAGAUGCAAGAACAAUUAGUCAGUUCCUCAGGCAGGAGACAUUCGGCCUCCGAGAAUCAGAUUUUUAGCACACAGCCAGCUCCUCAGUCCCUAUGCUUGGCCUGAGCUGGUGCUGGGGCCUUUAUGAGCUCUUGAUUAAUUCCCUUCCCAUUAGGAUGCUGUAGUUAAUGCUAAACAGGAAUGUGGGGGCUGGAAAAUGAACCAAGAGCAGAGUCAGUCUGGAUUGUAUUUCUGGAUUUCUCUCCAGGUAACCUUGGAAAAAACGUUCACCUCUUUGAGCCCCAGUUCUGCCAUCUGUUGUUGUUUUUAAUGAGAAAAAAAAACCAACCAGUCUACUAAAUCUCACUGCUUUGUACAAAUACUUCCUACAAAAUAUUUUAAACUAGUUCACACUAAAGUGUUGAUGACUCAUCAAUUCAUAGUUCCUCCUGUUUUUAAAGGAAUCUGAAGUAUUCUGAUCUUUCAGUGUCUGGAAUUAUGUGCCAAGCUUAACUCUUUAUAGGCUUAAUCUCAUUGAAGGCUCACAAUAACCCUCUACAGCAGUGGUCGUCAGUCUUUGUGUGCCUCAGAAUCAUCUGGAGGACUUGUAAAUACAAAGAGUUGGGCUGCACCUCCAAAAUUUCUGAUUCGGUAGGUGCAUUUGGAGCAAGGUCCCAGGUGAUGCUGACACUGUGGUUGCGGACCGCACUUCGAGAACCAUUGCUGCGAAGUAUGUGUGCUGUUAUCUCCAUCUUGCAGAUGAGGUCACUAGAAUAGAGAAGAAUUAAGAGCUUUGCUGGAAGUUCCCAACUGGCAGAACAGGGAUUUGCAGCCAGGGUUGACAGGACCCCGGUGACCUUGACCAGGGAACUCCAUGGUCACCAAAGAGGGGACUGAAAAGGAAAAGUAGGGCCAAGACACGAAACAAAUCUUGUCCUUUCAUGAUUUUGCUGGAUACUACAGAAUCCCUAUCUUUCAGAUUUCGCUCCCCCAUGCCCCAUGAUCACCAAGGAGACCUUGACUUCAUUUGAGUCUUUCCAACAAAGAAAAGAGAUUAGAGUUUGCAGGCUAAGCGUUGCUUCAAAGCAAAUUUUCCAGUAGCCUGAACUGAGAACUCCUGAUCUUGCGCAAUGAUUUAAAUUCUGACCCAGCCAUUCAUGAACUGUGUGACCUGGGACAAGUUACCCAGCUGCAUUGUUCUUCAGUGGCUCCAUCUUUAACAUGAGCACCUGUGCCAUAGGUUGUUAUGGGGAUUAAUUGAGACUAAAGACAAUAAUAAGAAAGAGCACGUAAUAAAUGAUGCCGUGACGAUGGCAGCGGUCACUGUCAUGGGUCAGCCCGAUUCACUGUGAAGUAGUCUGCAGGACUGAGCUGGAGAGCUGGCUGACCCAGGACUCACCCCCUGGGGAGGGGGUGAGUUAGAAUUGCUAGAAGGAGACAAGUGGUCUGGGUGGCUGGUGUAGGGAAAGAGAGGCCACCAAAAAUCUAGCCAAAUGCGGUUUCUGAACUGAGAGGAGUUUGAUGUUGGAGAACUAGACAUCUGGACACGAAUCGUAAACUGAGGCCAGAACAUUUGUUGGACUGAAUUAGUCUUCUCUUGUCCUUGGAGGGCAUAAGAACAGAGAGAAGUGCUAUCACUGGCUUCGAAGAACUCGGUGUGGAAAUACUUGAGAACCUGGCAAGGGUGGGGGUUACAUACAGCAGCUCUGCUCCCCACUUACCACCGGGUGAGGGGUGCGGCUCUAGGUCUUUCGCCCUUGUAAUCUCUUGCGUGUGUAAUGUACCAUGGGGAAUCGAUCCGUCCAGGAGAGGGGUCUUGCUUUGAGUCAGCUGAGAGGUUGGAUCCCCGCUGGACUAUUUACUAGCUGUGUUACUUCGAAUGAGUCACUUAGCGUCUUGGAGCUUCGUCCUCUUCGCCUGUUAUAUAGGCAGAGUGACAGCCACACUACGAGGCUGGUGUGAGGAUGAAAUGGAAUCGUGCAGCCAAGAAUCUGGUACAAUCCCUGGCCUAUAAUAGGCCUCUUAAAUGGUCUUUUUUUGCUCCCCUCCCUUCACAUGAUUCUCACACAGUCCUGUGAGGAAGGUUAAGGCAAAUGGCAUUAUCUCCAUUUUUGAGAGAAAGAAACGAAGGCCUAGAAAUGUUAAUGAUUUGCAUAAGGUCACAUAGUUAAAAGAUGGUAUUUCUCAAAUUCUAGCUCUGUGAUGGGUCCUAUGCCAGGAUAAUAAAAUGGGUUUCACUUCAUAGGCCAAAACCAAUUAAUGGGUCCUUUUGCCUAAACUGAAGGAUAGUAAGGCUACUUGAGAUUUGAAGAAAGAACCAGGAUGGUUUAGCCAUGUGUGUCAGGGGCCUGCUGUCGGGGUGGUGACCCCUGGGCAGUGCAGUUGUCACGCAGGUCCUGGGUGAAUUCUUUCCCAGUGAAUUUUGGGGUUGGCAGAAUGACCCUCUCAAAGACCUUCAUAGUCAAAUCACAAUUACCUUAGGUAGCAAAAAGGAUUUUGCAGAUAUAAUUAAGGUUUCCAGGUCUUAAAACAGGGAGAUUAUUCUGGAUUCCCCAGAUAGGACUGAUCAAUCACAUGAGCUCUUAAAAGCAGAAAGUUUUCUCUGGUUGCAGUCAGAGAGAUGUGGCAUAAGGAGAAGUUGGAGAAAUUACAAGCACAGGAGGACCUGACCUGCCCUUGCUGGCUUUGAGGAUGGAAGGUGCCAACAAAAUUUCUCUGUAAGAGCCAGAAAGAAAAUAUUUUUGGCUUUGCAAGACACAGAGUCUCUGUCACGACUACUUUGCCGUUGUAGAGGAAAGUAGCAGUAGACAAUAUGCAGAGAAUGGGUGUGCCUGUGUUCCAAUAACACUUGAUUUACAAAAACAGAUGGUAGGCUGGAUUUGGCCGCAGGCUACCAUUUGCGGAACUUGAUGUUGGCAGCAGUGCUGGUCAGGGAGUUUGUAGGAUGCUCGUUGAUUGGAAUUUGUCUGAUGUUUUUCUUACAAUCAUAUUGGAGUUACAGGUUUGGGGGGAAGAAGAUCACAGAGGUCAAGUGCCACUUACAUGAGGUCAUAUCAAGGGUAUAUACAUACGGCCAACAUGACUUGUUGACCUUGACCACCCAGCUGAAGUAGUGUUGCCAGAUUUGUCUUCUAUAAACGUACUCUUUUUGCUCCCUUUUCCAUACUGUACGCUCUGGAGAAAGUCAUUAUGUGCAGCCCACACAGAAGCAAUGGGAGUUAUGCAAUAUCUCUUGAGUGGAAUAUCUACAUAAUGUGUUCUUAUUCUUGUAUGUAGGAGAUUUGUCUCUUCUUCCCAUUUAUUAACUCAUUUAGUCAUUUAUUUAUAUCCAUAUGGACUCAUGGAAAUUCACUUCAUACUCGGGGUUAGAAUCUAAUGCUCUGCAGUUGAUUUUAUUUUUCAAAUUGUGCCAGCUUUUUGACCAACUUUUAAAUUUUGUCAGUCUGCUGAAUUUGGAACAGUGUCUCAUUGUGGUUUUACUUGACUUUUACCUGAUUAAGAAAGAGCUUGAGGGUCUUUUCAUAAUUUUAUGGGUUUUGUGUGUGUGUUUCCUCUAUCAUGAAAGUCUUAUUCAUGUCUUUCGUUCAACUUUUUUUUUCAUUUUAAAAAUUAGUUUGUGGGAGUUCUAUAACCUGGAUAUUAACCUUUGCAAGUUGUAUCUUCUAUUCGAGGCUUGUCUUUUCACUCCCUUUAUAGUAUCUUUCUCUGAAUAAAAGUUUAUGUUUUAAAGCUUAAAGUUAAUCAGUCUUUUCCUUUGUAUUUUGUGCUUUCUUGUUUUAAAAAUCCCUUCCUGCCACAAGAUCAUAAUGGAAUUCUCAGACACUGUCUUCUGAAUAUUUUAUGGCUUUACCUUUACAAUUAAGUGUUUAGUUAACUUGGAAUAGAUUGUGGGUGUAGUGUGAGGUAGGGAUCCAGCUUCAAUUCUUGUCCCACAUGGAUAACCGAAUACUCCAGGAUCUGUUAAGGAACAGUGUCAUUCGUCCACUCGUCAGCAGUUUUAACUUUGUCAUUAAUUUGCGACCCUUUUUUCCUAUGCCUGAACCAGUACCAGUGUUCCCAUAAUUUCUAUAGCCUUUUCCCUUUCCACCUCUUCCUACUUCCCUUCUUCCUCUUCUUUCUUCUUCCUACCAAGUUCUUCACUUGACCCCUUUUCAGGAAUGUCUGGUUAUUGCCCUUUGCUCUUCCAAAUUCAUUUUAGAAUCACUUUUUCACUUCUCACACACAACUGUGUAUGGAUUUUAAUUGCAAUUGCACUGAAUCUUUGCAUAUAUAUGGGGAGAAUAGUCAAGUUUACAAUAUUGAGUUUUUUUCCCCAAGGACAUUGUGUAUCUCUUCAUUUUCUUUCAUUGUUCUUUAACAGUCUCUCAAUAAAAUUUUAUAAU